rnacentral:rRNA from 1 species
CGAACGCUGGCGGCGUGCUUAACACAUGCAAGUCAAGGAAAAGCUUCGCUUCGGUGGAGUGGAAACUGGCGCACGGGUGAGUAACGCGUAUGCAAUCUGCCCUUAGUCCGGGGAUAACAUCUCUAACGAGGUGCUAAUACCCGAUAACGCAGCGGCACCGCAUGGUGACAGUUGUUAAAGUUUCGGUGACUAAGGAUGAGCAUGCGUCCCAUUAGGUAGUUGGUAAGGUAACGGCUUACCAAGCCAUUGAUGGGUAGCUGGUCUGAGAGGAUGAUCAGCCACACUGGGACUGAGACACGGCCCAGACUCCUACGGGAGGCAGCAGUGAGGAAUAUUGCGCAAUGGGCGAAAGCCUGACGCAGCAACGCCGCGUGCGGGAUGAAGGCCUUAUGGGUCGUAAACCGCUGUAGCAGGGGAAAAAUAUCCCGUUCGACGGGAUUGAUGGUACCCUGAAAGUAAGCCUCGGCUAACUAC